GACGAACGCUGGCGGCGUGCCUAAUACAUGCAAGUAGAACGCACAGUUUAUACCGUAGCUUGCUACACCAUAGACUGUGAGUUGCGAACGGGUGAGUAACGCGUAGGUAACCUGCCUGGUAGCGGGGGAUAACUAUUGGAAACGAUAGCUAAUACCGCAUAAUAUUAAUUAUUGCAUGAUAAUUAAUUGAAAGGUGCAAUUGCACCACUACCAGAUGGACCUGCGUUGUAUUAGCUAGUAGGUGAGGUAACGGCUCACCUAGGCGACGAUACAUAGCCGACCUGAGAGGGUGAUCGGCCACACUGGGACUGAGACACGGCCCAGACUCCUACGGGAGGCAGCAGUAGGGGAUCUUCGGCAAUGGACGAAAGUCUGACCGAGCAACGCCGCGGGAGUGAAGAAGGUUUUCGGAUCGUAAAGCUCUGUUGUAAGAGAAGAACGGGUGUGAGAGUGGAAAGUUCACACUGUGACGGUAUCUUACCAGAAAGGGACGGCUAACUACGUG
rnacentral:rRNA from 1 species